CGUAGAUGAGAGGCCGAGACACACAGAGGCAAAGUUGCUUGCUGUUCUUUGUCUGUUUGCUUUUGGCAGUGCUGGGGAUAGAGCCCAGAGCGUCACACAUGCUGGGCAAGCAGUGUGCCCCUUCGCUAGUCUCUGCCACCGCAGCUGGGCCUCAGCUCUGCCUGGUUCAGCCCUGACCCCACACCAAGCUACUCGCUCUCUGCGCAGCACGCAGUGCCUCAGGAGGGAAGCCUUUGAUCUGGGUGAUGGGUCCUUCCAGCUGCCCCUGGGCCAGGCUUUGCUUGGCUUUGCAGUGACAGCUGCCCGGAAACAGAAUGCUCGAGUCUGUUCAGGCUGCCUUGCUGCCCGCGAUACCUCAGCAGCCUUCUGCAAGCUAUUCUUCUCCUCAUAGGCGAACUUUCUAGCCUUGCUGUUCAAGAAAUGUUCCUGGGGGCCUCACAGGCUUUCUUACCAUGCAGAUAAGAUAAUCUCCUUCUUUGAAGACGGGAGCAUGGCCCAGAACCUACAAACCCAUUGCGAGGUCAUCUUACUUGGUAUCUUCAUUAUUGUUCGUGCUAAAAUCAAAUAAAAAAAAGGCCUCAGGCCCAUGGCGUUUGA